rnacentral:tRNA from 1 species
GCAUUGGUGGUUCAGUGGUAGAAUUCUCACCUUCCAUUCGGGAGGCCUGGGCUCAGUUCCCAGCCGACACA